GGCCAGAAAAUGGAUCCAGCCAUUGGUUUUCCAGAGAGAGGACUGAGAGGAUGCCCACCGGGUUCUGAUGCACAGUAGGAAAUGAGAUGAAUGCACGGACUUACACAAUAGUGAAUGACACACAGAAGUUAUGAAUAUAAGAAAGAAACAAAGAAACAAAGAAAGAAAGAGAGAAAGAAAGAAAGAAAGAGAUAGAAAGAGAGAAAGAAAGAAAGAGGAAGAAAGAAAGAGAAAGAAAGAAGAAAGAAAGAAAGAAAAAGAAAUAAA
rnacentral:lncRNA from 10 species